GAUGAACGCUAGCUACAGGCUUAACACAUGCAAGUCGUGGGGCAGCGGAUACUUAGCUUGCUAAGUAUGCCGGCGACCGGCGCACGGGUGAGUAACGCGUACCGAACCUGCCCAUCACACAGGGAUAGGCUUGCGAAAGCAAGAUUAAUACCUGAUGGUCUCAGUUGUAUGCAUGUAUAAUUGAGUAAAGCCUUCGGGCGGUGAUGGAUGGCGGUGCGUCCCAUUAGGAAGUUGGCGGGGUAACGGCCCACCAAUCCUUCGAUGGGUAGGGGUUCUGAGAGGAAGGUCCCCCACAUUGGAACUGAGAUACGGUCCAAACUCCUACGGGAGGCAGCAGUGAGGAAUAUUGGUCAAUGGGCGAGAGCCUGAACCAGCCAAGUAGCGUGCGGGAUGAAGGCCCUUGUGGUCGUAAACCGCUUUUAUCAGUGAAUAAAGUGCACCACGUGUGGUGUCAUUGCAGGUAGCUGAAGAAAAAGGACCGGCUAAUUCCGUGCCAGCAGCCGCGGUAAUACGGAAGGUCCGGGCGUUAUCCGGAAUUAUUGGGUUUAAAGGGAGCGCAGGCGGGAGUAUAAGUCAGCUGUUAAAUAUCAGGGCCCAACUCUGUUAUGCAGUUGAAACUAUAUUUCUUGAGUACGCACAGGGAUGGCGGAAUUCAGGGUGUAGCGGUGAAAUGCUUAGAUAUCCUGAAGAACUCCGAUCGCGAAGGCAGCCAUCCGGAGCGUAACUGACGCUGAGGCUCGAAGGUGCGGGUAUCGAACAGG
rnacentral:rRNA from 1 species